CCUACGGGUGGCAGCAGUGGGGAAUAUUGCGCAAUGGGCGAAAGCCUGACGCAGCGACGCCGCGUGAGGGAUGAAGGUCUUCGGAUCGUAAACCUCUGUCAGCAGGGAAGAACGGUCACUGUGCUAAUCAGCAGUGAAUUGACGGUACCUGCAAAGGAAGCACCGGCUAACUCCGUGCCAGCAGCCGCGGUAAUACGGAGGGUGCGAGCGUUAAUCGGAAUUACUGGGCGUAAAGCGCUCGUAGGCGGUAUGUCAAGUCAAGGGUGAAAUCCCCGCGCUCAACGUGGGAACUGCCUUUGAAACGGGCAAACUGGAGUGUGUGAGAGGAUAGUGGAAUUCCAGGUGUAGGAGUGAAAUGCGUAGAUAUCUGGAGGAACAUCAGUGGCGAAGGCGACUAUCUGGCACAUAACUGACGCUGAGGAGCGAAAGCGUGGGUAGCAAACAGGAUUAGAUACCCGGGUAGUC
rnacentral:rRNA from 1 species